ACUAACAUACUCUGCAAUGGGAUGGGAUCCGAUGCCCAUUUGAGGGAUAAUACAGGCUCUCCCAUUCA
rnacentral:ribozyme from 1 species